UACGAGGGGGGCGAGCGUUGUUCGGAAUUAUUGGGCGUAAAGGGUGCGUAGGCGGUUUGGUAAGUCUCUUGUGAAAUCUAUGGGCUCAACUCAUAGUCUGCAAGGGAAACUGCCGGGCUUGAGUGUGGGAGAGGUGAGUGGAAUUUCCGGUGUAGCGGUGAAAUGCGUAGAUAUCGGAAGGAACACCUGUGGCGAAAGCGGCUCACUGGACCACAACUGACGCUGAUGCACGAAAGCUAGGGGAGCAAACGGG
rnacentral:rRNA from 1 species